rnacentral:rRNA from 1 species
GACGUAGGGUGCGAGCGUUGUCCGGAUUUAUUGGGCGUAAAGAGCUCGUAGGCGGCUCGUCGCGUCGACCGUGAAAACCCGCGGCUUAACUGCGGGCUUGCGGUUGAUACGGGCGGGCUAGAGUUCGGAAGAGGCGAGUGGAAUUCCCGGUGUAGCGGUGAAAUGCGCAGAUAUCGGGAGGAACACCUAUGGCGAAGGCAGCUCGCUGGGACGUUACUGACGCUGAGACGCGAAAGCGUGGGGAGCAAACAGG